UCUGCCUGGUAGUGGGGGAUAACGUCCGGAAACGGACGCUAAUACCGCAUACGUCCUACGGGAGAAAGCAGGGGACCUUCGGGCCUUGCGCUAUCAGAUGAGCCUAGGUCGGAUUAGCUAGUUGGUGGGGUAAUGGCUCACCAAGGCGACGAUCCGUAACUGGUCUGAGAGGAUGAUCAGUCACACUGGAACUGAGACACGGUCCAGACUCCUACGGGAGGCAGCAGUGGGGAAUAUUGGACAAUGGGCGAAAGCCUGAUCCAGCCAUGCCGCGUGUGUGAAGAAGGUCUUCGGAUUGUAAAGCACUUUAAGUUGGGAGGAAGGGCAGUAAAUUAAUACUUUGCUGUUUUGACGUUACCGACAGAAUAAGCACCGGCUAACUCUGUGCCAGCAGCCGCGGUAAUACAGAGGGUGCAAGCGUUAAUCGGAAUUACUGGGCGUAAAGCGCGCGUAGGUGGUUCGUUAAGUUGGAUGUGAAAUCCCCGGGCUCAACCUGGGAACUGCAUUCAAAACUGACGAGCUAGAGUAUGGUAGAGGGUGGUGGAAUUUCCUGUGUAGCGGUGAAAUGCGUAGAUAUAGGAAGGAACACCAGUGGCGAAGGCGACCACCUGGACUGAUACUGACACUGAGGUGCGAAAGCGUGG
rnacentral:rRNA from 1 species